GCCAAGCAUCUGGCUUAGCAAAAUCACUCUGGCUGUAGUCUUGCUUGGCUUCCUUCUGGCCUGCUGCUGCUGUAUGUGGGGCAGAAGAUCUCCAGGACAACAAGGGGGCACCUCUGCAGUGCACUUAGUUCUGCUUUCUACUUGUUUAUAAUCUGGACAACUGAGGUCAUAUCUCUGAGGGAUGUCUGGGAGUAGAGAUCCUGCUUCAGGGAAGAGCUUGAUGGUAUUACUCUGCAAGCAACUUUCAUGUCAGUGUAUGGUGGACAACGUAAAUCCAUAUUUUAAAACAGAAAUGCU